UUUCACCCUAUACUGUGUAAAUAUAUGGGUUGUGUAAUUUAAGCUAAAAAUAAUAGCUUAAUGUUGAGACAUAAUUUUAUCGACUGUUUUUAUUGGGUGAUUUGUUUGGGUGUUUUAAGUAUGGAUUACUUAAUAUAAAUACUGAUAUGACCAGACUUACAAACUCUUAAUAUGAAUCGUAGGUUAUUCUUUGGGACAAGUUGUGCUUGUUGUAAAUGAAUACCAAUAUAAACAUCACAAAAAAGUUUUCGAUGACAACAAACAUAGAUAGUUGUUAGAUACAUGGAAUAUGGCGGGUGUGAGUGAACGCCUACAGCCAGACAUAGGAAAGCUGAAUAUCAAAACAAAAGGAGAAGAUGUUGCUGAUUUAGUACAGAACAUUUCAAAUUUAUCGCCAACAACACAAGAACAUUUAGGUGUACUGCUGAGAAGUAUUUCAAAUGGAACGGGUAAUUUUAGAAAAU